UGAAUACGAGACGCUAAGGCGUCGAAGUAGUGUAUGUCAUACUUCCAAGAAAAGCUUGCACUGUCAUAGAUAAAAAACGCCUGUACCAUAACCGACACAGGUGGGUAGGUAGAGUAUACUAAGGGGCGCGAGAUAACUCUCUCUAAGGAACUCGGCAAAAUAACUCCGUAACUUCGGGAGAAGGAGUGCCUUAUUCGUAAGGUUGCAAUAACAAGAUCCAAGCAACUGUUUAUCAAAAACACAGGUCUCCGCUAAGUCGUAAGACGAUGUAUGGGGGCUGACGCCUGCCCAGUGCCAGAAGGUUAAAGAAGUUGGUUAGCAAUUGCGAAGCUGAUAACUGAAGCCCUGGUGAACGGCGGCCGUAACUAUAACGGUCCUAAGGUAGCGAAAUUCCUUGUCGGGUAAGUUCCGACCCGCACGAAAGGCGUAAUGAUUUGGAUACUGUCUCGGAGAGGGGCUCGGUGAAAUAGACUUGUCUGUGAAGAUGCGGACUACCUGCACCAGGACAGAAAGACCCUAUGAAGCUUUACUGUAACUUGAAAUUGAAAUUGGACUUUAUUCGCGCAGUAUAGGUGGGAGGCGUUGAUUAUAAUCUUGUGGGAUUAUUGGAGCCUUCAGUGAGAUACCACUCUUGUAAUGUUAGAUUUCUAACUUUGAAUCAUUAUCUGGUCAAAGAACAGUUUCAGGCGGGCAGUUUGACUGGGGCGGUCGCCUCCUAAACGGUAACGGAGGCGUACAAGGGUUUCCUCUGAACGGUUAGAAAUCGUAUCUAGAGUGUAAAGGCAUAAGGAAGCUUGACUGUGAGACCUACAAGUCGAGCAGGGACGAAAGUCGGUCUUAGUGAUCUGACGGUACUGAGUGGAAAGGCCGUCACUCAACGGAUAAAAGUUACUCUAGGAUAACAGGCUGAUCUCCCCCAAGAGUUCUCAUCGACGGGGAGGUUUGGCACCUGGAUGUCGGCUCAUCGCAUCCUGGGGCGGUAGUACGUCCCAAGGGUUGGGCUGUUCGCCCAUGAAAGCGGUACGCGAGCUGGGUUCAGAACGUCGUGAGACAGUUCGGUCCAUAUCCGGUGUAGGCGUUAGAAUAUUGAGAGGAGCCUUCUUUAGUACGAGAGGACCGAGAAGGACAUACCUCUGGUGUACCAGUUAUCGUGCCAACGGUAAACGCUGGGUAGCUAUGUAUGGAGUGGAUAACCGCUGAAAGCAUCUAAGUGGGAAGCCCACCUCAAGAUAAGUAUUCUU
rnacentral:rRNA from 1 species